UCCUUUUUACCCUCAACACCCUUGGCAUUGAAUGAAGUUCUUCCAGGCUUUAGGGAAGACUAUUGUCAGCUGAAAGACUUCUCUGAAUUGCCAGAUGGAUUUGGUGCUUAUAGAAGUAGCAUUGGUUCUGACAGUGGAAGCUUUUUUCCUUCAGUACUUUCAAUAUAAAAGACUCCAUGCAAGACAAAUGGUAGGAGGACAUCAAACAAGACUGUGUCCAUGCAGUGACAGAAGCAAUCCAAUUGAAGAAGCUGUUGAUUUCCACAAGGAACACAGCAGCAAAAUGGCAGGUGGAUGCUGAUGUGUUUAUUGGCACAGACACGGAGGCUGCCCCACAUCCCCACACUGGUUUUCCACCUCCACAUUCCCAGCGCUCCCCAGCUCCGAGGGCAGGGCUGCAGAAGGUGCCACCACACUUCAGAAGCUCUAUGGACCAAAAGCUGCAGUGAUACAAAGUGUUUGGAGAGAACCGAUCAGAGAGACUGCCCUGAUCAAUACCUGCAGAAGUAUGCAGCAGCUACCUCUGGAAGAAGCAUACUGAUUCAGGUAGAAAAAAAGAAAACAUGAAGAGAAAAGGAGAUGCAGCAAAAAAAAUAUUCAGUUGGAAGAAAUAUUCAUUUGGAAAGCUGAAUCAUGCAGAAACCGACAACUUCACAACAGACUCCACAAUUGCAAUGGGUAACCUCGAGCCAUACUUCCCUUUUCUGAAGGAUUUGCCUUUCAACCUAAUUAGAGCAGGAGCUGAGCGAUCAGAUGUCCCUUGCUCCUUUUGAAAAAUGACUUGGAAAACUCCAUGUAAUCAGGAGGUAUUUAGGAUUUCCAUUGACUUUCAAUUUUCUUGGUUCAUCUGUUCCCUUUCAGAACGUUUGAUGCUAGUCUGUUCUAAACUGUAUGUUGAAUUUGCUUUAAUCAGAUGUCUUUGUAGCAGGCAUUAGGUCAUUUACUGUUUGAUUUUUUUCUGUGAAAAUACAGGUUUUCUUAGUUUCAAAAGUGUCCUUUGAAGAAACCUGUCAUAUUCCAGAUAGAGGAAAAUAAAAAAGAAAAGAAAAAAAAAGAAAGAGAAGAGGACGAGGAAGGGAAGUGGGGAGCAGUCCUGUACUUCUGUUCUUGCCCCACAGCAGUGGUGGGGAAUUGUGGAAUUGUGCAGUUGUGCCCACCCUUUUGCACCCAAACUUCCCCCCCAAGCACCUUUCUCUGGUGAUCUGGGCUCAUGCACUGAAGCUGGUUAGCAUAAGCAAAGCUUAAUAUUCAAGUAGGCAGUUAUGUACACUGAGUGCUAGCUCAAACAAAUGCUCUUUCUAGUUUUACACCUUCUGGCUGAGGAGAGUCCUGCAGCUUUGCUGCCCUGGAGCUCUCAAGCCCCCUUCUUCCAGUUCCAUACCUGUUCCUGUGUUUAGAGACCCAAUCUUAAUGCCACCUUACUCCCAUCCCCAAAUUUUAGCUCCUCAUCCAACCCCACCUUUCUACUGGCCAUUGCAGCCACCUGAAACUCCAGCCUCUUGAACUGUCUCUAUAAAACCAAAAGUCCUGCUUGUCACAAGGAUACUCUUAGUGACACAUUCAAUGAAAAAACACCUAACUAAGGCUCUGGUGGGGAACAGAGACUCACACAAGUCAGUGAGUAUAGUUUGGCUCAGGUAGGCUGAAUUUCUAUUCAUAAUGGCAAGUCUGUCUCCAAUGCCUGAAGAAAAAGCCCAGGGUAAAUAUGCUCCUUAGUUCCUAGGCUAGCAAGCCUCAAUGAGGUGACUGAAGUCAAGUCUCUAUUUGUUUACCUUUAAAGUUUAUCUUGAAAGAGUAUGUUAAACUAGAAAAGUUUGCUGCUAUACUUGGCAGGGAGAACUUCUAUGGAAAGUCUCUGUCAAAGAAAACUAUAGUUCCCUCUAAAAGACGUAUAUCUGCUCCUGAGAGGGAGCUCUCCCUUAUAUUUAAAAUUCAAAAAUAGUAGUAGGUGGUGAACACCAUCAGAAAACAAGCCAUAAACCAUCUUGAAAAUCUAUUUUAAUUGUUCUAAUACAUAUUUCUAAGAUUAAUAUCUCUUUACUUGGAUUGUGAAGCAGUAGGAGCUGUGGUACUGUUUGGGACAUGGAAAGAAUAAAUUGUGUAAUGCCAACAGAAAAGGUGCUGAGGUAGCUGGUAAUUGACGGAGUUAAUGAAGUAUGUUAAGCAGGUACAAUAUAGAUGAACUUGUCCCCUGCAGGGUGAUUGGCCACUGGGGAAAUAAUGUGGCAGUUGUCUUUGUGUUAAAAUAAUGUGGUACUCCUUCUUUGCCAGAUCCUAUCUGCAAUGAGAGAUGAAAGAGGUCUUGCAAGGAUACCCAGGUCCUCCUAUUGCACAUGCUGUGCUUGAAGCAGGCAAGCAAAGAACAAGAUAAAGAGGGGGUAAAGAGUGUAAUGGCUGUCUGUAAAGCCAUUAGGCUAUUUCCUACAAGCCACACAUGAAUUAUCCACUAUUGAACAGUAAUAAUUUGACACUGUUUUCUAUAAUCCUCCCUCAUACACUACAAUGCACUGGUGUUGUCUGGGGAUGAAUGGGAACUGAAUUUGGCCUGCCAAUUUUUCUGGAAGUUGAUUAUUUUUAGAUAUUGUUUUAAUAAUUAGCUAACUAGCUCCCAAAGAGUACAAUGGAUUUAGACAGCAAAAGAUAGUUUUGAGAGUAAUAUAGAUUUUGUAUUAUUAUCUCCUCCUAUUGUAUGUGAAUAUUAGCAUUGAAGCAGCAGGAAAAAUAUCAAAUGGAAACAGAGCUUAGCCUUUCAAUUAUACUAAGCUGUGUGGUCAGCAUUGGUUCCAAAAGAGGCGUGUAGAGCAUAGAGUAAUGAAAAAUCAUUGAUAGCAUCAGUUUUGUGUCUAAAUAAUCUACUGUGCUAUUCCAGCAUUGUUCUUACUAAAACCAUCUCAGAAGAUGAGCUAGCUUUCCUUGGCCAUCAGAUCUCAAAAUACCUGAAGCUUUCUUGAUUUCCUUAGGUGCUGACAGCACUCUCUCUCAUGGCCACAUGAAAAUUAUACAGUAUUCUCUUUCUUGAAGUUGUAGCUGUUGACAUUUUCAUAGUUGAUAUUUAUCUGCUUAUAGUGCAAGUGAGUUAGGUGUUAUUGGACCUUUGAGUUUUUCAAUGUGGUUUUAUUCUCGUCAACAUAUUCUAAAUCCGGGAGUCCUUCUCGGGGUUCCUAAAGAGAGCAAUAUUUGGAGAGAGAAGGGAUUCUUAGCAAACCUCUGACUGAGAACUUAACAUAAGAAAAUAUUUCUAAGCAUCACAUGGCAAACUAUUUUCUAAUUUCCAAAAUACAGUAAAGAAGGGUUAAAUGCAAACACUUGUUCAAUGUAGGAGUUAGGUUUACAAUAAUCACAGUCUCUUUCCCCGAUCUUUCUUAUGGCUCUAAGAUUUGUAUAGCCAUUUGUUAGUAUGUUACCCGGAAUAACAACCUGGCCAUAAGAAUAUUUUCAACAGAGCUUCCUAGUAUGAGAAUUUGAAAAGCACUUCCUGAAAAUUUAUCACAGGCCACAGUUUAAAAUAUUUUUGUGCCCAACGAAUCUCAGGUGAUGCCAUUAAGACAGCAUAAAAUACCACAAAACAUCAGGAGAGAAAACCGGAUAGCAAUUAUCUGAAGCAUUUUUCUGGUAUCCAGAUCUGCCUUUUGGGAGUGCUAACUCAAUAAAUAAUCACUAUACAUAAACAAAGUAUGGGCUAUAACUCUCAAAAAACAUAGAAUUGUCUUCAAGGUGUUUUGCUUUGUUUGACAAAAUACUCUUUGGGGAUGUACUAAUGGACAAAGUUAAAGAUCCAAAGAAAGGAAACUUGAUCCAUUUGAAAGAGAAUAGAAGGCUGAAGCAAACAAAUGAAAAAAUAUGCUGGUACUCCCUCAAAAAGUGCUGACUUCCUGCUGUAGGUCACCUCACCAGCCCACCUUGUACCACAAAACAGGGUAAUUAAAAAGUGCUGAUUCUCUGUACUAGCAAGAUCUCUCUCUUUUCAACCCUUGUUUAGGACUAACCAACAAGACAGAAUACAUUCAUUAUGUGUGGGGUAGAGAGUUUGUAUCUUACAGACUGCCUUAAAAAUGAGAGAUACCACAAAACCUCACAAAAUCAGACCAACCAAAGCCCUCCUAAUAAAUAAGUAAUAAUUAACAAAGUCUGAACUCAUAUUUUCUAUCUCAAGGCUUUUUACAUAUAUCCAUCCUCACAGUACCACUGUAAUUAACAUCAGCUGACACAUGCAAACUGUAUGUGUCUGAAUGAGAUACUCCGAUGCUCAGGCUGACAGUAUCAUAUGGAAUGCAAUGCAUAAAAUUAUCAAGUAUAAUGACCAUUUUACAAACACUUGCCAAAAAAUCUCUCCCUCCCUUUCAUCUCCUCACUAAAUACACUACCUUUUCUAAAUCUCUGUGCAAGUAUUUGAAGGGCAGCAAGUCUGAGCCGGUUGUGAGGGAUUAAUUGAAUUUACAAGGGGAUUGCACUGUGUGCAACAUCUCAAUUAACUUACUUGUUAAAUAGGUAAUGGCACUUGACUGUUAAGUUGUGAAAGAACUUGUUAAAUGGAUAUUGCUACUUAUUUAAAGGAUAUGGUCUAUGGUCUGGCUGAAUAAUUAGGACUCCAAAGUGUGUAGGAACCUAAACAGUAUAGCAGGCAAGGCUAGAUGACAAAACGAGCCCUGCCUCCUCAUUCAGAUACUUUCAUCUAUUUCACAGUAGUUGAAUGAGACAACAUUUUUUCUCAGAUUUGAAGCACUCUUGACCAAAGAUAUGCAGAGAAGGAAUAAACCACAUACAGAUGAAAAUUGUCAACUGUGCUGUCCUAUGAAAUCUGUGGAAAUUUUCUCUUGGUUUGAGAUUUGUUUGUUUAGCUUUGGGGUUUGGCUUUUGGGAUGGGUUUUUUGUAGGUUUGUUUUUGUUUUCUUUCUCCAGUUAAUAACUUUUCGGAUCUCUGCUGAACAAAGCAAGAGUAGAGAUAUCAAAUAUGUUUCUUGAAAAAUCAACAGCUUCAUGCUCCUCCUAAAAGGUAGUUUUUUUAUUUGUCCUUUCAUUCCAAAAGUUUCCCUUACAUCAGUAGCUUCCUUAACAACAGAGAUAACUGAGCUUGAAAGGGUUUUACUCUGAAAUGUCAAUGUUGUUUACUUCCUCUGCUCUUCAUUUCAGCAUUUUGGCCUGAGUUUUCAGAUCUUGGUCUGUGGGAAUCAUAAAUCAUGGGGAAUAGAUACAUAGAAAAUGAAACACUAUGGUCCAUCUACUUAGUUUUCAAGAAACUUUUAGUCUAUAGCUCCCCAGUUGUCAGCACCAAGUUUUUGUGCAAUCAAUUCUUUUAUUUUUAAAGGAAGCUAGGGAAAAAAAAAAAAAAAAAUACUACUCCAUGAUCUGUUUUCCCCAAAGCUUGAAGAGUAUGUUUUGAUCUGGAGUUCUGCUUAGGAAUAUGUCUGACUUUAAUUAAAGCAAACUGUUACAGAAUGUACAGGCUGCAAGUUUCAGUUUGAUUCUCCCUUGGUACAGACCAUCUUAUAAAUACAGUGGCAUCUCUCUGAGAGUGAGACAGACUCUCUAACCUCUUGUAGAAUGCAUAAAAUCCUGCACAUAUGUCAUGUGGCUGCCACCUUACCUUCUCGUGGGACAGAAACUCCUGGCAACCACUUCAGAACUUCAAAGAAUGUGGGGGUUUUAUGAAGGUUUAUCAAAUAAAAACAAAGCUUUACAUUGUUUAAAGUAUCAUCCAAGAUUCUUCUUAAAGGAUAAGUCCUAUCCUUAGUACUUAGCUUAUGCUUCUCAGCUGGAUACAGAGAAACUAAAUGGAAGAAAAGGAAGUAUUUUCCCUGUAGAUUCUAAGAAAGAAAAUACUUCUGUUUAAGAAAUUACAUUGCUUUUAUGGCUUCAACUUACUCACUUCACAUGAAAAGAUCAGGGAAGAGUUUGUUAUUGGGACAGCUGCAAAAUUUUCUGCAUCUGGAACUGAAAAAUAUAUUUGCAGAAAAUGGAGGCUGCUUUUUGAAAGUCCAUUUUCAACAGGUGAUAACUUGAGUAGCAGGAGCUUGGCAUCCCCCAGCAUGAUUCUGUAAACAGGGAUGGCCCAUGACACUGCACAGUGUUGGCUCUGAAGCCCACAAAGCUGCACCUGAGACCAGGAGCUCCCAUAGAUGGAUUGCAGAAUUGAUGGUUAUAGUUUGGCUGCUAUUUUUGCAAGGGUCUGACAUACUUGUCUGCGUGGGUUAUGGUCAUCUUUUACAUUUCUGCAUGUGCAAUCAACACAAGGGGAGUGGAAGAAGAAAAUUUCACUCUCAAAUGGAAACAGAGGCAAGCAUUGAAAACACAGUGCAUUUCAAUAAGCUGUAAUUACAAAUACAAAUUCAUCAACUAAACUUGGGCAUGCAAUUAGUAGACUAAUUAUGCUGUAAUUGUAACUGAAUACCAA